UGGAGUAGCAAUACUUCAGAUGGCGACCGGCGCACGGGUGAGUAACACGUAUCCAACCUGCCGCUUACUCGGGGAUAGCCUUUCGAAAGAAAGAUUAAUACCCGAUGGUAUAAAGAGUUCGCAUGUUCUCUUUAUUAAAGAAUUUCGGUAAGCGAUGGGGAUGCGUUCCAUUAGAUAGUUGGCGGGGUAACGGCCCACCAAGUCUACGAUGGAUAGGGGUUCUGAGAGGAAGGUCCCCCACAUUGGAACUGAGACACGGUCCAAACUCCUACGGGAGGCAGCAGUGAGGAAUAUUGGUCAAUGGACGAGAGUCUGAACCAGCCAAGUAGCGUGAAGGAUGACUGCCCUAUGGGUUGUAAACUUCUUUUAUAAGGGAAUAAAGUGAGGGACGUGUCCCUUUUUGUAUGUACCUUAUGAAUAAGGAUCGGCUAACUCCGUGCCAGCAGCCGCGGUAAUACGGAGGAUCCAAGCGUUAUCCGGAUUUACUGGGUUUAAAGGGAGCGUAGGUUGACAUAUAAGUCAGCUGUGAAAGUUUACGGCUCAACCGUGAAAUUGCAGUUGAUACUGUAUGUCUUGAGUGUACAAGAGGUGGGCGGAAUUCGUGGUGUAGCGGUGAAAUGCUUAGAUAUCACGAAGAACUCCAAUUGCGAAGGCAGCUCACUGGGGUACAACUGACACUGAGGCUCGAAAGUGUGGGUAUCAAACAGGAUUAGAUACCCUGGUAGUCCACACAGUAAACGAUGAAUACUCGCUGUUUGCGAUAUACAGUAAGCGGCCAAGCGAAAGCAUUAAGUAUUCCA
rnacentral:rRNA from 1 species